rnacentral:lncRNA from 1 species
GUGCGUCGUGGCAGGUGAGCGGUGAUGAAGAAAGGGCGGAAGCUCCCGCUUGAGGGUAGACGCCACGGCCUCCGCUCCCGCGCGUUGUUGUCCUGCCUUACCGCGCUUGGAAACUCUACAAAAUAUAAGGAAAAAGAAUAUAGACAAGCAUGGAAAGUGAAGACACAAAGAAAACACAAGAAAUGAAGACUGACCUGAACUUAUUAUUGGAGUGUCUAAAGUAUCAAAUGGACAAUGCUUUUUCACAAAAGGAAGCUUUGGUCACUAUUCAUUCAAUUUGUCAACAAAACAGUAAUGCAAGUGUUUAUUUUCGGGAAAUUGGUGGUUUGAUGUUUGUAAAAAAUCUUGCAAAGUCAAGUGAACAUAGCAUGGUAAAAGAAGCAGCCUUAUAUACAUUAGGAGCUAUUGCAGAGAAAAAUGUUUACUGUCAGCAGACUUUGUGUACUUCAGAGUUGUUUGAAGACUUAACUUGGUUCUUA